CUGGAGCUGCGGUGAUGCCGGACCCUUUUUAACCCACAAAGUAACGAAACGGGAUUGCGUAUUUUGCUGCGGAUUGCAGGCCUCCCGCCGCCUUGUGCGCGCGGAAGUUGGAAGCGCUGAAACAGCAAAGAGCUAACCCACCUGCACACGAGCAGGUUACUAACGGGUCCGGUGUCGCCGCAGCCCCAGC
rnacentral:other from 1 species